GCCGCUGGAUAGGUGGGUAGCCUGUGAGCCUCCUGGGGGUUUAUGAAACCAGUGAUGACGCUGUGUCAAAACAGCCUCCGGCCCACGGACCUUCCAUGCCUGCUGACAGAAAAGGGGGAACCUGAUGCUGCCCUGGGCCUGGGGGUCUUCUCCCGGCCCCCACCUUCUGGAGGCGCCGCCCAGGAGAACCUUCCAGAACACGCUGGAGACCAGCACUGUGAAACCACUCGGCAAGAUUCUGGUCUGUUUGGCAUCUCACCUGAUUUGGGGUGGCCUGGGCUCUGAGGAAUUUUGGUCUCAGCGCAGCCCUGGUUGGGAUUGACACUCCUGGAUCCGCCGCCACACACUCAAUUCUGGAGUUGCCUCCCUUCACACUUGAGUUUCUUUAUAUGUGAAACAGGGGUAUUAGACACUCUUCGAUUUUAUCGGGAAGGACUUUGCAAUAAAAUAACUUCUGCUGUG